ACCAGGGGCAUUCGGGGCUGCAGCUCACACUCAGCUCCAGCGCGCCGUGGCAAGUGAAACUGAAAAUCAGUUUGCUUGGCGGAGGGGUGGGAAAGCCACCACCGAACAAAGAGAUGCCGUUACUCUAUGGCAGCGCGCACGAGGAGCCCACAGACCCGCACUGCACACUCGGGGCCCGCGGGAGGUUUGCUAUUUACAGCGAGCGCACACCCCAAACGUACCCCCGGCGUGCGCGCGUGCGCACACACACACACACCCCAAUGUGUGCAUUUCUGAACCGCUCGCGCGACCCCACACCUAGUCUGAAUUCCGCUGGAGCCCAAAGCGAGUGGUCGCCAAGAUUAACCGCCACCCCGAAUCUCGCGGAGCCCCACUCCACGCCUCCCGACUCGGAGAAAUGGGCACCAGACACACGCGCACAGAGGAGCGCCCGGAGCGGAGCGGCAGAGGGCGCAGGCGCACGGGCAGCCGCCUAGCCCAGCCCGCAAGCAGAGAGCUCUGCGCUGCCCUUCACCUGCGCGGCGGGGUCGGCUAGGAGCAUUAAAGCCCCAGGU
rnacentral:lncRNA from 1 species